rnacentral:misc_RNA from 1 species
AGCAGAAAUGCUCACUUGGCCUUGGGCUCAAUCUAACUCAUGUCUGUUUGAUAUUAAACACAAUCUUCAAUUGCCUUAAAUUAAUCUAUUCAAGAUAAUAUUUUUUUUCAACAGCCACAACAACAUCACCAGACUUACUUUUGAUUAUGUUAUAGGAAAUGAAAAGGAAAGAAAUAUGGGCAUCCAAUCUUACUCUAGCUGCCCUAGACAUAAAUUCUAUCAUCAGCAAGCCUAUCGACACAAUUAUGCAAAGGAAAAAAAUAUAAGUGCAUCGCCAGCAGAACUUAUACAUAAUGCAGCAUCAUGGAAAG